rnacentral:tRNA from 1 species
UCUGUAGCCAAGCUGGUUAAGGCAGCGGUCUGCAAAACCGCGAUCGUGGGUUCGACUCCCAUCAGG